AACGAACGCUGGCGGCAUGCCUAACACAUGCAAGUCGAACGAGACCUUCGGGUCUAGUGGCGCACGGGUGCGUAACGCGUGGGAAUCUGCCCUUAGGUUCGGAAUAACUUCGGGAAACUGAAGCUAAUACCGGAUGAUGACGUAAGUCCAAAGAUUUAUCGCCUAAGGAUGAGCCCGCGUUGGAUUAGCUAGUUGGUGAGAUAAAGGCUCACCAAGGCGACGAUCCAUAGCUGGUCUGAGAGGAUGAUCAGCCACACUGGGACUGAGACACGGCCCAGACUCCUACGGGAGGCAGCAGUGGGGAAUAUUGGGACAAAUGGGCGAAAGCCUGAUCCAGCAAUGCCGCGUGAGUGAUGAAGGCCUUAGGGUUGUAAAGCNUUUACCCGGAUGAUAAU
rnacentral:rRNA from 1 species